rnacentral:misc_RNA from 1 species
GGUGAGGGAACCGACCGCUGCGAUGGGGAGAUUUUCCUCAACUGCGAAGAAGGUUUGCCUCCGCGGUUCUUAGUGCGUCUGGGGGUCUAGGCGGCGCCGUUCGAGGCGGCGGCCAUGCGCAAGCCGCGGUAGAGGAUGUUCGGGUCUCCGAGGCGUUUGCGUAGCUCUCGUUCUAGGCCCGCUAUCGGGUGCAGGUUCUGCGGUGCACGCGGAUCCUUGUGUGCCU